AAUCAACGCUGGCGGCGUGCCUCAGACAUGCAAGUCGAACGCGAAAGUCCCCUUCGGGGGACAAGUAGAGUGGCGUCCGGGUGAGUAACACGUAGGUAAUCUACCUUCGGGUGGGGAAUAACCCAGGGAAACUUGGGCUAACACCGCAUAAUGCAGCGGCACCACAUGGUGACAGUUGUUAAAGCGGGGGAUUUUAGGACCUCGCGCCUGAAGAGGAGCCUGCGGCAGAUUAGCUUGUUGGUAAGGUAACGGCUUACCAAGGCGACGAUCUGUAGCC
rnacentral:rRNA from 1 species